GACCGAGGCACCACAGGCAACGGCUGGCGGCUCAACAUGCACGCCGUCCAAUACGAGCCACCAACCGACACACUCCACGUGAGAGACAACCUCACGUGAACAGAACACGAACCACUCAGCUCGUGUCGCACCUGCGUGAGCGUCGUUUUUGCUGUGCUUCCACUUUAUCAAUGUGCUUAUAGCGACGGGUUGCAUUGCAAAUACAUGUCUUACAGUGCCUC